GUCCUGGUCCAUAGCAGCCUGAGAUCUGGCGGGAACUGGGAAGCUAAGCAGGGUCUGACUCGGUUAGUGCUUGGAUGGGAGACCACAUGGGAUUACCGCAUGUCCCUCACU
rnacentral:rRNA from 1 species